rnacentral:rRNA from 1 species
UACGUAGGGUGCGAGCGUUGUCCGGAAUUACUGGGCGUAAAGAGCCCGUAGGUGGUUUGUCGCGUUGUUCGUGAAAUCUCACGGCUUAACUGUGAGCGUGCGGGCGAUACGGGCAGACUAGAGUACUGCAGGGGAGACUGGAAUUCCUGGUGUAGCGGUGGAAUGCGCAGAUAUCAGGAGGAACACCGGUGGCGAAGGCGGGUCUCUGGGCAGUAACUGACGCUGAGGAGCGAAAGCGUGGGGAGCGAACAGGAUUAGAUACCCUGGUAGUCCACGCCGUAAACGGUGGGUACUAGGUGUGGGUUUCCUUCCUUGGGAUCCGUGCCGUAGCUAACGCAUUAAGUACCCCGCCUGGGGAGUACGGCCGCAAGGCUAAAACUC